CCACAAAGGGAACUUCCUAGAUUGUGCAUUUUAGAUUUAUUUCUCUAAAAUAUGCAUUUAAUGCUGAAAAUUUCCCUCCAGGCACUGAUUUCACUGCCUUCCACAUUUUUUUGUCUUAUUUUCAUGUUUCACCUAGUUGAGCAAUAUUCUUGGGGAGCAUCAUUUAACUAGAUUGUUCUCACCUACCCUCUCAGCUUUGCCCUCAGUCUGCAACCCAGCUGUUGUCCACUAUGAUUGAUCAGGUGGAAGGGAUCCUUUGCUCUUCCUCUUGGGGAAGGACAUUUCCAGAGAGCAGCAGUGACGUCCCAUCAAAUUUGCUCACCGGGAACAGGGAAGGGCUGGAUCACACAACGGCUCCCUUUCACUACCUGGAGGGGACAGCACCGCCUGCCACUCUCUGGAAAUGUCCUUCCCAAGCAGAAGGCUUGUGUUCUGUAAGGAGGAAGUUUCUGGUUGGGACCAUGGGAAGAGGAGGUGGCCCCUGUGAAUUCACCCCACUUCUCUCUGUGAGAGUCUGUUGGGGGUUCCUGGAGGAAAAGCCUGCAGAGGUUGGGGCACCUCUGGGACCACGGCCCCAGGACCACUCGAUAUCCUGCACUGAGAUUCAGCAAUUCCUCAAAAUUUCUACCUUCGUGUUCCUACUGGCUUGUGGCAUCUGGUGGUUUCUGCUCCUGGUUAGCCAAUUUCAGGUUCUGUAUCUCCCUUAAACACACCUUUCUUCAGAUUUGGGGGUGGGGGUUUGCCCUGAGACCUCAGUUCUCUGUUGGAGCCAGGAGAAGUUGUUAAUAUUCGGUUCAUCCAGAUUUUCUUACUUCGAGGAUGGGAUUGCUGACCUCCAAGCUCUUUACGUGUCUGAGCUAAACCUGGAAGUCUAGCACAGCCCUGCUGGAGUUUCCGUCUUGGUUUUACGGCGGUGAGGCCCCCAGAGAGAGGAAGGCCUCUAGGGGACAGGCACUGACUGCAGGUCAGAACAAACCGACGCCCAUCAGACCCGUUUAGGAGGGAUGGGGGAUAUUUCAUGAGCAUAGUCCUGGAAUCUUUCCCAUGGAGGUCUGGUAGCCUCCACAGGACCUGGACCCAGAGGACAGAAAUUUGGAGGACAGAGCAGACCCAUCCCCAAGUUACUGGGCUUUUUUUUUUUCUUUCUCUGAGUGUCGGGCACUGCUCUGUCCUCCACAUGGACAAGGAGGUAUAAUGACCCCAAUCCAACUUCACACGCCCUGUUAAACCCUGUUGGGACCCAACCUCUCUGCUUUUCACCACUUUCACCUUCCCCAGUGAGUGCUCUGAGCCGCUGGUUCUGGGGGAUGUUAAUCAGAGACAUGGGAGGUCAGGGCAGAGGGGGUGCCGCAGGGAAACUAGUUUGGGAAACUGGGUUGCCACUCGAGGGAAACUCUGAUUCCAAGAUGCGGACCCUUGUCUGAAGCUGGAUGCUGGGACUGAAGGACGAAGGUGGCCAAGUCCACGGGGGCCAGGUGUCCUCCAAGCCAUUCACGGGACUGAAUGGGACACACUGAUCAGAAAUAGGUCACCUGGGAGGUGAGUGAGAGGGGCUCUAAGGCAGGACCCAGGCAGUCCAGCGAAGAAUCUGUUUAAAACCUUGAUGGAGGGAGACUCCACAUGUGUGCUCGAUUCACCAAAGCCGAUGAAAUAACGGAAGCCCCCUUGGGGAAGCUUCACCACCAUCACAAAAGCACCGUCAGAAGCAGGAGCCACCGGGUAACACCACAUCCUGCGUCGGGGAGAAGAAAACCUGUUCAAAUAUCCGACUUUGAGACCGUCUGCCCUGUCACCGUUCAGCAGGACCUUCCACGCUGUAGGACUAGAGCGGUCACGUGAGUGGAGGUGUCAUAUCUGACGCCUGGAAAUACAAGCUAACGUUCUUUCGGGAACAUCUGCAGGAGUCCCUGGCUGUUGUUCAAGGCAGCUUAUUCUCCAGGAAAGGAAAGCUCAUUCUAAUGAGCUGAAGCCCCUUUGGCUGAGAGACACAUCGGUACAAAUUAAAAAAUGACUGCUUAUCUGAGACCCAAAAUACUGAGGAAGACAUUUAAAGGUGUCCAAAAUAUUCUUAUGUUUCUACGUUGCACAUGGGGCAUUUGGCAGCUACCGGCAAGGGUGACCGCCCCAGGAAGCAGGAAUGCCAGGCUGCGAUGGGUGAGGGCCCAGGAUACAGGGUCCAGAGCCUCUGCAGGGCCAGCCCAUCCUCACGUGGCAGCCCCUCACCAAGCAUGAGAAUGCAGGGCUGGCUUUUGACCCACCCUCCCACCUCCGAUGGAACCUGGCCUGGCUUCCCCCUCCCCCCAGUCUGAUGGCCCUGGUCAGCUCUGGGAAGAGGCAUCCCCCCCACCGCAGAACCAGGGGAAGAGACCACCGCAGUCCUCCCCCUCCAGGCACAUCCUCCACCAAGCUCAGAGAAACCCGUCUACACCAAGCGCUGUCCACACAGCCUGAACGCAGAAGUGAGUUUCUUCUGAGUUGUUCCUUCCCUGCAAGGAGGCUGAUCCUGAGAAUCCAGAAUCCAGAGAGACGCUUUCUCUCUACGUGAAUACUUCUUUUUUUCUCCUUUUCCUUUUAUUGCCGUUCAUUUUCCUUGGCCCAGAUGGACACUUGAUAGGGUUUUAUUAUCCUGAGAUAAUGUUUUAUAACUGUAGAUUAUUUGAAUGUGACUCAUAACUUAUUUUAUUUGUAGAUCGUGUAUUUCACAGUGUCUUUACGAUUAUUAGCGAAUCCCCUAAAAUCAUCCAAAAAGAUGGCAACAAUUUUAUUUUUGUCUUUCUCUUAGAAUGAUUUCGAAAUUUCUUAAUUUUGGUUUCAUUGGUAUUAUUUAAGUAAUUACACAAUGUUUUGAGUGGAGACUUGAUAAUAAAAUUUAGGGGACAGUGUUUUAUACAUCCGUACAUGUAGAUGUGAAUUUUAAUUUGUUGUUUCCAUGUUAUUUGGGGCAAGAGUAUUUUGGCUCUUGCCCUUAAACAAUAGUUUCUACUGAUUUGGAAACAGUAAGUUUUGGUCUCUUUUCUCAAGUGGUAUUGACUUUUCUCUCAUUGGAGCUUCCUACUGGACUUCAGUGAUUACACAAAUGUUCAGAUGGCAGCUCAACAGAAUUGCAACUCUUAGAGCAUUCAUAAAUGCAGCUUAUUUAAAAGUGACGUUCCUGCGUUCGUGGUCCUUUUCUUCCGUCUGUGCCUGGAGGAAGGACGGCAUUUCUGCCGUUGUUCAAUGAGCAGCAUUUUACACGAGGCAUUUCCUAACAGAAAAUACCUAACACGUGAAGAAUGCUCUUCAAGAAGAUUAUAGACCUUCAGGCCAAACUGAACAUCAGUAACAACAAAACACUGCUACUCAGGGGCUAUGUUCUUUGCCUCCACAGGCAUGUAUUAAUGAGGUAUCAAAAUCGACACGCAUAUAUAGACGAAAAGGGGGGCUGGGUAAGGAUGUGAUGCCUGAUAGCUGAGGGAGGCCUCCUGUGACUUCAGCAACUUUGCGGAUUUCCUCUGAACACACCCGUUGAUGAGUUCCGCCUUCUCCGUAAGAACUGAAGCCCACUUGCCAACAGCUACAGGCAACAUUCUGUUACAAAAGGUGCAGAGCCAGCAUGACGCAGCAGAGGAAAAGGAAGCGCUCUACCAUGGAGUCAGAUCGUUCCUCCUUCUUACAGUUUCUACAAUAGGAAAAGUUCUGAGAAAAAGCGACUUGAGAAUAUCAGCGACAGGAAAAACCAGGAGAAAGAGGGCUUUUAUGCUGUUUCCCUUCUAAAGCCUGCAGACUCUGUUAUUUUGGGUUCUCUUAUUAUCUGGUUUUGAUUUACUAGACUUGAGUACGAAUAAAGAUGGUGUGGAUCCUU